rnacentral:rRNA from 1 species
ACGAACGCUGGCGGCGUGGAUAAGACAUGCAAGUCGAACGAUGGCUGCAGGGUAGCAAUAUCUUGCAGUCGGAGUGGCGUAAGGGUGCGUAACACGUGGGUAAUCUGCCGUGAAGUUGGGGAUAACCCCGAGAAAUCGGGGCUAAUACCGAAUGUGGCUGUCUGAAGGCACCUUUGGACACCUAAAGCCGGGGACCGUAAGGCCUGGCGCUUCAUGAUGAGCCCGCGGCCUAUCAGCUCGUUGGCGGGGUAACGGCCCACCAAGGCUAAGACGGGUAGCUGGUCUGAGAGGACGACCAGCCACACUGGAACUGAGACACGGUCCAGACACCUACGGGUGGCAGCAGUCGAGAAUUUUUCACAAUGGGCGCAAGCCUGAUGGAGCGACGCCGCGUGGGGGAUGAAUGGCUUCGGCCCGUAAACCCCUGUCAUUUGCGAGCAAAGCUUUGCACCUAAUACGUGCAGAGUUGAUAGUAGCGGAAGAGGAAGGGACGGCUAACUCUGUGCCAGCCGCCGCUGUAAUAC